rnacentral:lncRNA from 1 species
CAACGAUGACAACAACGACAAUGAUGAGAAAAUGAGAAGAACGUUACCAAAAACAACAACAAUGAGAAAAACGACAUUAACAACAACAGCGACAACAACGACAACAACAACAGCAACAACAACAACAACAACAACAACAACAGCAACAACAACAACAACAACAAAAACUACUACUGCUACUACUACUACUACUACUACUACUACUACUACUACUACUACUAC